rnacentral:rRNA from 1 species
CACACGACUCUCGGCAACGGAUAUCUCGGCUCUCGCAUCGAUGAAGAACGUAGCAAAAUGCGAUACCUGGUGUGAAUUGCAGAAUCCCGCGAACCAUCGAGUUUUUGAACGCAAGUUGCGCCCGAGGCCUUCUGGCCGAGGGCACGCCUGCCUGGGCGUCACGCC